UGCAAUAUGUUUAUGGUUUUCGUUUUUGCAUAUUGUUGAAAUAUGUUCGGYUUGAGUCACGCUAGUUCUGUUAUUAUGUCGUUUUUGUCAUGUUUGAGAAUGUUUAGUUCGUGGGAAAGUGCAGUGGGAAUUUCCCACGCGGUAACAUUAUGGCUCCUCCUUGCAGGAGCUUGUUGUAUGCCAGAGACUGACUUUACCUCCAUGCCUGUUCUGUGAAAUGCAGAGCCAUGAGGAUCACCGACGAGGAGCUUGUUGUAUGCCAGAGACUGACGUUACCUCCAUGCCCGUUCUGUGAAAUGCAGAUGGAGAAUUAAAGAAACCGCUGAUGCCAACUUGA